CGGGUGGCGAACGGGUGAGUAACGCGUGAGGAACCUGCCUCAAAGAGGGGGACAACAGUUGGAAACGACUGCUAAUACCGCAUAAGCCCACGGGUCGGCAUCGACCUGAGGGAAAAGGAGCAAUCCGCUUUGAGAUGGCCUCGCGUCCGAUUAGCUAGUUGGUGAGGUAACGGCCCACCAAGGCGACGAUCGGUAGCCGGACUGAGAGGUUGAACGGCCACAUUGGGACUGAGACACGGCCCAG
rnacentral:rRNA from 1 species